ensembl:snRNA U6 U6 spliceosomal RNA
GUGCUUGCUUUAGCAGCACAUGUACCAAAAUUGGAAUGAUGCAGAGUUUAGCAUGGCCCCUGUGCAAGGAUGACAUGCAAAUUUGUGAAGUGUUCCCAUGUAUU